GGGGAUAUAACUCAGUUGGUAGAGUGUAUGCUUUGCAAGCAUAAGGUCAAGAGUUCGAGUCUCUUUAUCUCCA
rnacentral:tRNA from 1 species